rnacentral:rRNA from 1 species
AGAGUUUGAUCCUGGCUCAGAACGAACGCUGGCGGCAGGCUUAACACAUGCAAGUUGAACGGGAUUUGUGUGGUGCUUGCACCAUAUAAUGAGAGUAGCGCACUGGUGAGUAACACGUGGGAACGUACCUUUUGGUGGGGGACAACAUCUGGAAACGGAUGCUAAUACCGCAUAAGACCUGAGGGUGAAAGAUUUAUCGCCGAAAGAACGGCCCGCGGAAGAUUAGGCAGUUGGUGGGGUAAAGGCCUACCAAACCUACGAUCUAUAGCUGGUCUGAGAGGACGAUCAGCCACACUGGAACUGAGACACGGUCCAGACUCCUACGGGAGGCAGCAGUGAGGAAUAUUGGGCAAUGGAGGCAACUCUGACCCAGCCAUGCCGCGUGAGUGAAGAAGGUUUUCGGAUUGUAAAGCUCUUUCGGAUGUGACGAUGAUGACGGUAGCAUCUAAAGAAGCCCCGGCUAACUUCGUGCCAGCAGCCGCGGUAAUACGAAGGGGGCGAGCGUUGUUCGGAAUUACUGGGCGUAAAGGGUGUGUAGGCGGUUAUGUAAGAUAGCGGUGAAAUCCCGGGGCUUAACCUCGGAAUAGCCGUUAUAACUAUGUAGCUAGAGUUAUGGAGAGGAUAGCGGAAUACCCAGUGUAGAGGUGAAAUUCGUAGAUAUUGGGUAGAACACCGGUGGCGAAGGCGGCUAUCUGGCCAUAUACUGACGCUGAGGCACGAAAGCAUGGGGAUCAAACAGGAUUAGAUACCCUGGUAGUCCAUGCUGUAAACGAUGAAUGCUGGUUGUCGGCUUUAGGGUCGGUGACGAAGUUAACGCGAUAAGCAUUCCGCCUGGGGAGUACGGUCGCAAGAUUAAAACUCAAAGGAAUUGACGGGGACCCGCACAAGCGGUGGAGCAUGUGGUUUAA